GGGGUCCUAUGGGGUCCGAUGGGGUCCUAUGGGGUCCCUUAUGGGGUCUUAUGGGGUUUCUAUGGGGUGUUAUGCGGUCCUAUGGGGUUUUGUGGGGUCUUAUGGGGUGUUAUGGGGUCCUAUGGGGUCCUAUGGGGUGUUACGGGGUCCUAUUGGGUCCUAUGGGGUCCUAUGGGUCCCUAUGUGGUUCUAUGGGGCUCUAUGGGUCUCUAUGGGGUCUUAUGGGGUCUUAUGGGGUCUUAUGGGGUCUCUAUGGGGUUUCUACGGGGUGUUAUGGGGUCCUAUGGGGUGUUAUGGGGUCCUAUGGGCCUCUAUGAGGUCCUAUGGGGUCCUAUGGGAUCCUAGGGGUCUCAAUGGGUCUCUAUGGGCUUUUAUGGGAUCUUAUGGGUUCUUAUGGGUCUCUAUGGGGUGUUAUGGGGUCCUAUGGGGUGUUAUGGGGUCCUAUAGGUCUCUAUCGGGUCCUAUGGGGUCCUAUGGGGUCUUAUGGGGUCUUAUGGGGUCCUAUGGGGUCCUAUGGGGUCUUAUGGGGUCUUAUGGGGUCUUAUGGGGGCUUAUGGGGUCUUAUGGGGUCUCUAUGGGGUCUCUAUGGGGUGUUAUGGGGUCCUUUGGGGUCUUAUGGGGUCUCAAUGGGGUGUUAUGGGGUCUCUAUGGGUCUCUAUGGGGUUGUAGGGGGUCUUAGGGGUCCCUAUGGGGUCCCUAUGGGGUCUUUAUGGGAUCUCUGUGGGUCUUUAUGGGUCUCUAUGGGGUCUUGUUGUGUCCUAUGGGUCCCUAUGGGUCUGUAUGGGGUUUUAUGGGGUCUCUAUGGGUCUCUAUGGGGUCCUUUGGGGUCCUAUGGGUCUCUAUGGGUUUCUAUGGGUUCCUAUGGGGUCUCAAUGGGUCUCUAUGGGUCUCUAUGGGGUCUUGUUGUGUGCUAUGGGUCCCUAUUGGUCUCAAUGCGGUGUUAUGGGGUCUCUAUGGGUCUCUAUGGGGUCGUAGGGGUCUUGGGGUCUCUAUGGGGUCUCUAUGGGUCUCUGUGGGUCCCUAUGGGUCUCUGUGGGUCUCUAUGGGUCUCUAUGGAGUGUUAUGGGGUUCCUAUGGGGUCUCUAUGGGGUCCUGUGGGUUUCUAUGGGGUUUUAUGGGGUCUCUAUGGGGUCUCUAUGGGUCUCUAUGGGUCUCUAUGGGGUUUUAUGGGGUCUCUAUGGGUCUCUAUGCGUCUCUAUGGGUUCUUAUAG
rnacentral:lncRNA from 1 species